rnacentral:rRNA from 1 species
AUGCUAAGGCCGCCGCCGGCGCCACUGCUCCCUCCAGCUUCCCGCGCUUCCCUCCUUCCUCCCCACAAAGCCGCAAACCCCAACGCCGAAACCACUCCCGCGACCUCCACGACCGCCAGAGCCACACCCAUGGGCGUGGCCGCGUCCUGGCCGCGCGCGCUGGGUCAGCGCUUCAACCCGGGAGGCGUGGCCGCGGUGGUCGCCGUCGCGGCGUCCGAGCCGCGUCUAGCGCUGCCGCACGUCUCAGUGCAGGACAUCCGGUGGCUGGACUGGGCGGAGCUCCGCCGCGCCGGGUUCCGCGGCGUGGUUUUCGACAAGGACAACACCCUCACCGCGCCCUACGCUCCCGAGCUCUGGCCGCUGCUGACCACCUCUUUUGACCAGUGCCGCGCGGCCUUCCCCGGCGCCAUCGCUGUCUACAGCAACUCCGCAGGGUUGAAGCAGUAUGAUCCAGAUGGGUCGGAUGCCAGUACGAUUGAGGCGACUAUCGACGGGGUUCAUGUGAUUAGGCAUGAUGCAAAGAAGCCUGCUGGAGCAGCUAAGGAAAUAGAGAGUUAUUUUGACUGCUCGGCUUCAGAUCUUGUGCUGGUUGGUGAUAGAUACUUUACUGAUGUUAUCUAUGGAAAUAGGAAUGGUUUUCUUACUGUCUUCACAGAACCAUUGAGUUUUGUUGGUGAAUCGUACAUUGUCAGAAAGGUUAGAAAGCUGGAAGCGUACAUUAUCAAUUAUUGGUACAAGAAAGGACACAGACCAAUUAAGCACCCUUUGCUCCCUGAUGCGAGAACGAUUGUGAAGUUUGAUCCAUGUGAAGACCCAGUCUCACCUAGAGCAUAG